GUUAUACUCCCUCCCUCCCAAAAUUUUUGUCUUAAAUUUGUUUAGAAAUGGAUGUAUCUACAUGUUAAAAUAUGACUAGAUUCAUUCAUAUAUAGACAAAUCUAAAAUAAAAAAUUUGGGACAAAGGAAGUAUUAA
rfam:Hordeum vulgare subsp. vulgare, WGS project CAJW01000000 data, contig: morex_contig_127029